rnacentral:pre_miRNA from 1 species
UCACCUCCACAGGCUGCCGGCCCCAGGCUGGGCUGGGCGAGUAUCCCUUCGAAAGGCUCACCCUCAAGCACGACUAGGAGC